rnacentral:rRNA from 1 species
AUACGGAGGGUGCGAGCGUUGUCCGGAAUUAUUGGGCGUAAAGAGCAUGUAGGCGGAGAUUUAAGUCUGUUGUGAAAGCCCCGGGCUCAACCUGGGAAGUGCAUUGGAUACUGGCAGACUUGAAUACGGGAGAGGGCAGUGGAAUUCCUGGUGUAGGAGUGAAAUCCGUAGAUAUCAGGAGGAACACCGGUGGCGAAGGCGGCUGCCUGGACCGAUAUUGACGCUGAGACGCGAAAGCGUGGGUAGC